rnacentral:lncRNA from 1 species
CUCUCAGACAUCCAGUGCAUUUCACCAGAUCUGAAUUAAACUGGAAUAUUAUACUGGAAGUACUGUCUUGGGAUGAAGAACUAUAAUAUCUCUUAGUAAUUUUCCUUCAGGAAUUACUCCUAAGUAGAGAAAUAGAAUGCUGAAAAAUUUCUAUCAUCAGGUUUAUACCAGAAAGGGCAUGGUACCUAGGAAGCAAUUAUAGAAAAUAGCAUUUGUGAGUAUUGGAGAACAUUUCAUCUCCUCCUUUAUUUUACAAAGAAGAAAAUAGAAGCCCAGAAAAGUUAAGUGAUUCAUUCAAAGUUGCUUAUUAGUUAAUAAUCCAAAAUUUAAAUCUAAUUAUUUAUAUUCCCAGCACAAUGCUCUUUCUUCUAAAGCAUUUUACAUUUUAUAUGUGAAAGGGAUUAAAUUAUAGUCUGUUUCUAAAUUGGGCUUCCAUUUAAAUCAAAGACUUGUUUAUUCAACUGUCUUCUCACUUUCCUGCCCUGCUACUACUUCUCUUAAACUUCAUUUAACCUCAAAUAGGACUGGAUGACAUACACCAGUGGUCCUCAGACCUGAGCAUGUGUCAGCAUCACCUGGAGGCUUUGCUAAAACACAGAUUACUGGAGCCAACCCUCAGAGUUUCAGAUUCAUGGACUGAUGCAGAACUGAAACGGCCAACACAAGAAUCUUCAAGGACAAUUGCCUGGGAAUCCUGAGGUCUGGACAGCAACACCCAAAUCUCUUUUUCAUUAAAUCAUAAAAGAAAAUAGUGUAUGGAGAGAUUAAGGCCAGGCCUCUAGAGGAGGGUAAUAUGAGCAUAUAUUUGUAUAAUUAAGCUAAUUUCAAAACAUGACAGAUGGAGUGGAGGUGGUUUACAAAAAUGUUUCCUCUUUACAUGUCUUACUUAUUCUGGAACACUGAAAUGUGCAGUAUGUUGAAACAAAUAAUCUCUACCUGGAUUUCUCAUCAAUGACAUUAUUGACAUUGGGCUCAAUAAUGCUUUGUUGUGAAGGACCCCCUUGUACAUUGUAGAAUGUUUAGCAGCAUCCCUGGCUUCUUACCCACUAGAUAACAGGAACAUCCUACACCCCAUCCCUAGCUGUGAUAACCAAAAUGUCUCCAGCAUUGCAAAUUUCUUUGGAGGAAGAAUUGCACCCUAAUGGUUUCUAUUAGGUAGGUUGGAAAUAAUUUGCCAAUAAAAAUAAUUAUUUUAUUAGCUGGGCACAGUGGCUCAUGCCUGUAAUCCCAGCACUUUGGGAGGCUGAGGCAGAUGGAUCACGAGGUCAGGAACUCAAGACCAUCCUGGAUAACAUGGUGAAACAACAUCUCUACUAAAAAUAUGGAAAAUUAGCCAAGUGUGGUGGCAUGUGCCUCCAAGCUAGUCAGGAGGUUGAGGCAGGAGAAUCACUUGAACCUGGGAGGCGAAGGUUGCAGUAAGCCUAGAUCAUGCUACUGCAUUCCAGCCUGGGUGGCAGAGUGAGAUUCCAUCUCAAAAAAUAAUUAUUGUUUUAUUUUAUACUUAGCACUUGUUAAGUGCCAUAUUUUAAAAUUUAAUCCUCAUAAGAAUUCUCGGAUUUAAGUCCUACACUAUUAUUAGGUUUCUGGCCUACACUAUCUAUGAUUACAGGUUAUAGUACAGUUUCCUCAAUCUUACAGGUGAGGAAACGAGGACUCAGAGGACUUAAGCAACUUUCGUGACAUUGUAUAUGCAAAUGGUAGAGCCAGCAUUAAAAUCUGGGUAGUCUAGCUCUGGAAGCUGCAUUUGGAAACACUCUAUCAUAAGAGUGUCAACCCUUUUUAAUAUCCCAAAUGGUAUGAAAGACAGCAUUACUGACUUACAAGCAAUAAUAAUCCAUAGAUUUCAAUUUGCAUAAUUUUCUGAACGGACGAUAAAACAGAAGGGAAAGACAGGGGAAUGACCUUGUCAGAGGAAGA